rnacentral:rRNA from 1 species
GGCAUGCCUAACACAUGCAAGUCGAACGGCAGCUACGGCAGUAGCAAUACUGUGGGUGGCGAGUGGCGGACGGGUGAGGAAUACGUCGGAAUCUGCCCAGUCGUGGGGAUAACUAGCCGAAAGGUUAGCUAAUACCGCAUACGACCGAGAGGUGAAAGCGGGGGACCGCAAGGCCUCGCGCGAUUGGAUGAGCCGACGUCGGAUUAGCUAGUUGGUGGGGUAAAGGCCCACCAAGGCGACGAUCCGUAGCUGGUCUGAGAGGAUGAUCAGCCACACUGGAACUGAGACACGGUCCAGACUCCUACGGGAGGCAGCAGUGGGGAAUAUUGGACAAUGGGCGCAAGCCUGAUCCAGCAAUGCCGCGUGUGUGAAGAAGGCCUUCGGGUUGUAAAGCACUUUUAUCAGGAACGAAAAGCGUUGGAUUAAUACUCUGACGUGCUGACGGUACCUGAGGAAUAAGCACCGGCUAACUUCGUG